CCUACGGGAGGCAGCAGUAGGGAAUCUUUCACAAUGGGCGAAAGCCUGAUGGAGCAACGCCGCGUGCAGGAUGAAGGCCUUCGGGUUGUAAACUGCUUUUAUAAGCGAGAAAUAUGAUGGUAACUUAUGAAUAAGGAUCGGCUAACUACGUGCCAGCAGCCGCGGUCAUACGUAGGAUCCGAGCAUUAUCCGGAGUGACUGGGUGUAAAGAGUUGCGUAGGUGGCAUAAUAAGUAGCUAGUGAAAUCUGGUGGCUCAACCAUUCAGACUAUUAGCUAAACUGUUACGCGCGAGACCGUUAGGGGUAACUGGAAUUUCUAGUGUAGGAGUGAAAUCCGUAGAUAUUAGAAGGAACACCAAUAGCGUAGGCAGGUUACUGGGACGGUUCUGACACUAAGGCACGAAAGCGUAGGGAGCAAACGGGAUUAGAUACCCCAGUAGUC
rnacentral:rRNA from 1 species